ACAAGAUUGAGCAACCUGGCCAGGUGGGGUACGCACGCCUUUAAUUCUAGCACUUGGAGGCAGAGGCAGGUGGAUCUCCUGAGUUCCAGGACAGCUGGAGUUUCCCAGAGAAACCCUGACUCGAGAAAAAAACAAAACCAAGAAAAGACUGAACAAUUUGUAUAUAGAAUGGCUUUACUGUUCUUUUAACAGAAAACUGUCUCCCAUCAUUUGGGGGUCCUCCAACAGGAAGCGGCUUGGUCUUUCCACAGGGUGGUAAUUUAUUCUAGAACCGAUGUGCCAGCGUUUCCUUCUGUGUGCUUUGAGUAGGAGCAGGAACAACGGAUCUCUCCAAGCAUGGGCAGACGGAGAGCUGCAACCCUUGGACCAACCAACGCCUGCCAGUGGGCGCCUGCAUCCCACGCCUGCAUCCCGCGUGCAGGCUACUGGCAGGUGCUCUGUGUCUCACUCCAUCUUUACCUGCCCUGUAAAGGAGGAACUGUUGUUUUUAGUCUCCUGGAGCAGCCGCGCCUUCCCACAGCACUCAGACUUGAGGAAGCUUAAGAAGCUGAGACCAGAGAGGGCGAUGUCCACCUUGGUGACGAAGCACUCUAGAGGCUGCCGCCACACUUAAAAAGUGACCAGUCACCAACAACUCAUCUUAAGUACAGGAAGAAUGCCAGCAGCUGAAUGAAAUUCUUGCUUUCCCUGGUGAACAACGAAGGGGAAGGGAAUGGAGUGUGGUGAAAGAGAGGGCAGAAAGGCUGCCAGUGUCCUCUUCAUCCCUGCCCCACCCCCACCCCCACCCCCCAGCACAGAGAGACCCGGGAAGAUUUCAAAUCUUUCCUUUAAGUGGCGGCUAAGGACAAAAUGAAAUGACUUAGCCACCUAUCAUGGUCUUUACUGAGUUAUAUCCAUGGAUAUAAGAUAAUUUGGCAUCUAAAAAACAAAGACAGGGCCAGUAAAAUGGCUCACUGGGUAAAGGUGCCCGCUGCCAAGCCAGAGCACCUGGGUUUGGUCCUUGGAACUCACACGGUGGGGAGAACAGAUCCCUUCAUGCUGUGUGCUGAUGCCCACAUGCAUGUUAGGAAAACACUUCCAGCCCCCUAAACUAACUUUUUCUAUUCCGUACUCUGCCUGUGACUAGACCUGGAAGGAGAGAACAAGGGCCUUCCUGAGGCAGGACAAGGACCCAGAACUACCCAGAAUGCAGCAGGGCGGCCCCGCACGACUGAGCUCUGAUCCUAACCUGCAAAGUGAAGUUUCAAUUUCCACUUCCUGAGAAGGUCAGGUGUGUAUAGGUGUGAACCAAGUGCACGUCUAGUUCCCUUGGAGGCCAGAAAGAAGGCGGUGUCAGAUCCCCAGGAACCAUAGUUACAGAUGGUUGGUGAGUUACUGUGAAGGUGCUGGGGAAUUGAACCCAGGUCCUCUGUAAGAGCCGCCAGUACUUUUAACCUCUGAGUCAUCUCUCAAGCCCCCUGUAUUUUUGAAAUAGGGUCUUACUCUGUAAUUAGGACAACCUGAAACUCACAGUGUAGCCCAGAGUGACCUCGAACUGCUUCAACCUCCAGAGUGCUUGUAUUUCUGGCACUACCUGCC
rnacentral:lncRNA from 1 species